AGCCUUUCGGGGCAUCCGUCGAGGUGCUGCAUGGUUGUCGUCAGCUCGUGCCGUGAGGUGUCGGCUUAAGUGCCAUAAUGAGCGCAACCCCCAUCGCCAGUUACCAGCGGGUAAAGUUGGGGACUCUGGCGAGACUGCCGGCGCAAGCUGUGAGGAAGGCGGGGAUGACGUCAAAUCAGCACGGCCCUUACGUCCGGGGCGACACACGUGUUACAAUGGCAGGUACAGAGAGAAGCGAUGCGGCGACGCAGAGCGGAACUUCAAAGCCUGUCUCAGUUCGGAUUGGAGUCUGCAACCCGACUCCAUGAAGCUGGAUUCGCUAGUAAUCGCGCAUCAGCCACGGCGCGGUGAAUACGUUCCCGGGCCUUGUACACACCGCCCGUCAAGCCAUGGAAGCCGGGAGUGCCUGAAGUGUGCAACCGCAAGGAGCGCCCUAAGGUAAAACCGGUGACUGGGGCUAAGUCGUAACAAGGUAACC
rnacentral:rRNA from 1 species